GAUGAAGAACGUAGCGAAAUGCGAUAAGUAGUGUGAAUUGCAGAAUUCAGUGAAUCAUCGAAUCUUUGAAUGCACAUUGCGCCCCUUGGUAUCCCGAGGGGCAUGCCUGUUCGAGCGUCAUUUCACCACUCAAGCCUGGCUUGGUGUUGGGCGACGUCCUCUUUGGGGACGCGCCUCGAAACGCUCGGCGGCGUGGCACCGGCUUUAAGCGUAGCAGAAUCUUUCGCUUUGGAAGUCGGGGCCCCGUCUGCCGGAAGACCUGCUCGCAAGGUUGACCUCGGAUCAGGCAGGGAUACCCGCUGAACUUAAGCAUAUCAAUAAGCGGAGGA
rnacentral:misc_RNA from 1 species